rnacentral:lncRNA from 10 species
CUGCCAUCCAUGUUAAGAUAUGACUUGCUCCUCGUCUUCCGCCAUUAUUGUGAGGCCUCCCCAGCCAUGUGAAACUAGUUUUGCUCUUUUUGCCCAGGCUGCAAUGGCGUGAUCUUGGCUCACCGCAACCUCCGCCUCCCGGAUUCAAGCGAUUCUCCUGCCUCAGCCUCCCAAGUAGCUGGAAUUACAGAUAAAUGUUUCAGAAUGCUGCCACCAACCAUCCUGCAACCAUGAGUGGCAAGCCCAAGACCAAAAACCAAAUAUUGAGGAUGGCAAAGAAAAAAGAAAGAGACUGGACUGUUGGGGACAUCACUGAGCCACUUUGCCAAACCUGGAGUUGCCUACCUUCAAAAGUUUUGUUAUAUGACAUAAUUAAUCUUUACUGCUUUGCCACUUCUGGUGGAAUAUUUUAUUACUAUCACCAGAAGCAUUUCUUGGCUUCAAUAACACACAUACUCCAGUGUCACCUGCUUCAAGAGCACUCUACUCAUAAUUCUGACUAAUGUACAUUUCCACAUGUCUGACCCAAAGGAGGAAGAGGCAGAGCAAGACGGCUCAAUAGAAGCCUCCACUAAUUGUCCUCCCCACUGGAACACCAAAUUGAACAACUAUCCACACAAAGAAGCACCUUCGUAAGAACCAAAAAUCAGGUGAGUAAUCACAGUACUUGGUUUUAAUUUCACAUCACUGAAAGAGGCACUGAAGAGGGUAAGAAAGAAAGAUGGUCUUGAAUUGCCAAUACCACCCUUUCCUCAUCCCUUGUCAGAGGCCAUAUGGCAUGGAGAGAGAUUCUAUAUGCUUAGGGGAGGAAGAGCACAGUGACUGUGGGACUUUGCGUUGGAACUCAGUGCUGCCCUGUCAGCAGAAAGCAACACUGGGCAAAACUCAGCCAGCACCAGCAGAGGGAGCAUUUAGAUCAGCCUUAGCCAAAGAUGAAUCACCCACCCCAGUGGUUGGAACCUGAGUUCUAGCAAGCCUCACCACAAUAGGUUAAAGUGUUCUGGGGUCCUAAAUAAAUGUGAAAGGUGGUCUAGGCCACAAGGACUGUAAUUCCUGGGCAAGUCCUGGUGCUGUGCUGGGCUCAGAGCUAGUGGACUUAAGGAGCAUGUGACCUAGUGAGAAACCAGCCAGGGCAGCCAAGCAAGUGCUUGUGCCACCACUCCCCUAACCCUAGGCAGCACAGCUUGCAGCUCUGGGAGAGACCCCUUCCUUCAGGCUUGAGGAGAGGAGAGGGAAGAGUAAAGAGGGCUUUGUCUUGCAACGUGGAUACCAGCUCAGCUACCAUAGGAUUGGGCACUACAAUAGGAUAGGCAGAGUCUUGAUGGCCCCAUUCCAGGCCCUAGCUCCCAGAAGACAUUUUAAGCACACUCUGGGCCAGAAAGGAACUCACAACCUCAAAGGGAAGGGCCCAGUCCUAGAAGAAUUCAACACCUGCUGACUAAAGAACCCUCCUUGGGCCAGGCCAGGUGCAGUGGCUCACGCCUGUAAUCCCAGCACUUUGGGAGGCUGAGGCGGGUGGAUCACGAGGUCAGGAGUUCAAGACCAGCCUGGCCAACAUGGUAAAACCCUGUCUCUACCGAAAAUACAAAAAAUUAGCUGGGCAUGGUGGCGGACGCCUGUAAUCCCAGCUCCUCGGGAGGCUGAGGCAGGAGAAUUGCUUGAACCCAGGAGGUGGAGGUUGCAGUGAGCCAAGAUCACGCCAUUGCACUCCAGCCUGGGUGACAGAGCAAGACUCUGUCUUGGGGAAAAAAAAAAAAAAAGAAGUCUUGGGCCCUAAAUAAUCAGCAGUGGUACCCAGGCAAUACUUGCCAUAGGCUUUGAGUGAGACUCAGAGAUGUGAUGGCUUCAGAUAUGACCCAGCACAUUCCCAUCUGUGGUGGCUACAGGGAGAGACUCCUUCUGUUUGAGAAAAGGAGAGGGAAGAGUAAAGGAGACUUUGUCUUAUAGCUUAGGUACCAGCUUGGCCACAGUGGGGUAGAGUACCAACUAGACUCUUGGGGUCUCUGAUUCCAGGUUUUGGCUUUUAGACAGUAUUUCUGGACCUGCCCUGGGCCAGAGGGGAGCCCGCUUCCCUGAAGGAACAGACUCAGAACUGCCAACAUCACCAAAAGCUGACAGAAGAACCCUUGGGCCUUGAGUGAACAUCGAUGGUGCCAGACAGAAAGUCAUCUCUCUGCUCAACUGAGACAAAUGCAGAUUCAUUGAGCCAGACUAAGGCAUAAGUGACUAUUCCUCUAUGUUCCCCAACAUGUAAAUUGUGGAUUCAGUGAAAGGCUGAUUGAAGAGUCAGAAGAAUGUAACUUUUUGUCUCUUAUCUACCUGGAACCACACCUUAUCUACCUGGAACUGUCCCCUCCCCGCCCCCCCAAUCCCGCCCUGUUUUGAGUUGUCCUGCCUUUCUGGACCAAAUCAAUGCACAUCUUACACAUAUUGAUUGAUGUCUCAUAUCUCCCUAAAAUGUGUAAAAGUGAGCUGUACCCUGACCACCUUGAGCACAUGUUGCCAGGACACAGCCUCCUGAGGGUACAUCUUUAACCUUGGCAAAAUAAACUUUCUAAAUUGAUUAAGGCCUGUCUCAGACACUUUGAGUUGACAAUACACAAAAACUAAAAAGGAAGAAAUUAAAAGAUACCACCAGAGAAAAUCGCAUUCACUAAAAGGAAGACCACAAAACAACCAGAAAACAAAUAACAAAAUGGCAGGCAUAAGUCCUUACUUAUCAAAAAUAGCAUUGAAUGUAAAUGAAAUAAACUCUCCAAUCAAAAGACAUACCAUGGCUGAAUGGAUUUAAAAACAAGACCCAAUGAUCUUUUGCCUACAAGAAACACAUUUCACCUAUAAAUAUAUGUAUAGACUAAAAAUAAAGGGAUGGAAAAAUAUAUUCCCUGCAAGUGGAAACCAAAAAUGAGUAGGAAUAGCUAUACUUACAUCAGAUAAAAUAGAUUUCAAGACAAAUGCUACCAUGCCCAGUUAAAUGUUUUUUUUUUUUAAAGUGUUUGUAGAGACAGGGGUCUUGCUAAGUUGCCCAGGCUGGUCUUGAACUCCCGGUCUCAAGCCAUCUUCCUGCAUCAGCCUCCCAAAGUGCUAUAGGCAUGAGCUACUGGGCCUGCACUGUUUUUCUUUUAAUAUUUUAGAGACAUUGUUCUACUAUCUGCUGGCUUGCAUUGUUUACACUGAGAAUCUUCUGUAAUUCUUAUGUUUGUCCCUCUGUAUGUAAUAUGCCUUUUUUCUCCUGCAUUUUUAACAUUUUCUCUUUGCCACUAA